AUUAAAAAAAAAAAAACAGUACAUCCAUAUGCAGAAAACUGAAAGUGGAUCUCAGUGGGUCACCAGGCACUAAUACCAAUUCGAAGUGGAUCGAGAUCGCUGCGUCAGACCCGAAACUGAAAUUACUGCCAGAGAAGGAGAAACAGAACUUACAGGUAGAAACUUCUUGAAGAGUCCCCUGAACCCCACAGAUAGGAGAGAGACAUGACACGUGGGACUACAUCACUGUAACAAGUUUCUGCACAGCUAAGGACAUAGCUAACCCAGGAAGAGAGCCAACAGAAGGUCCCUCGCUCUUUUUUUGAAGGUCUACAUAGAAGUGAUUUUUGUUAUUUUUGUGCCUGAAAUGUAACCGCUUUUUCUACGGAGCAAAUAAUGGGCUGAGGACCGAACCCAGGGCCUUGAGCGCGCCAGUAGGCACCCUUCCGCUGAGCUAAACCCCCAGCCCCUCUUGAUGGUUUUUUAUAGUUAAUGCUAUGCUAUUUUGUGCAAAUGUCUGUAUCUGAAUUUUUUAUCUAAGAUCAGAGAUCGAUAUAUUUUAUUUAUUUAAUAAAUAUGACAUACAGGUAAUAUAUUAAAAGAUAUUUAUUAUAAUUAGUGGAAGUUUUAAUUCAAAAUUAACACAAAACAGAACACAAACAUUGGAUAGAUCUUGGUUUUUUAUUCAAUUUGCUAUUCUUCUUUUGAUUGGAGAACUAAGUCCAAGAAUGGUUAGGGUUAUUAUAGAGAGAUGUGUCAUAAUUUCCUGUAUUUUGCUUUUUCCUCUUCCUGUAAUUAUUAAAUUGAUCUUCUAGUGA